AAAACCUAUUUAUAAUGGCGGCAAUUAAUCUUAUUAGAGGANCUUGUUUAAUAAUCGAUAAUCCACGUUAACUUUCACUAUAUAAUAUAAUUUAUAUAUCUCCAUCUUAGGAAUUUAUUUUCAUAAAUUAUUCAAAAUAACCUUAUUUAACAAGUUAGGUCAAGGUGUAAUUUUUAUUAUAGAUAAAAUGAGUUACAAUAAAAAUAAUUUAAAAAUUAUUUAAUUAAAAUUAAAUAUGAAAUAGGAUUUAAAUGUAAUAUUAAAAAUAAUAAUUUAACAUGAAUAAGAUAACAAAUGUGCACACAUCGCCGUC
rnacentral:rRNA from 1 species